rnacentral:sRNA from 1 species
UUAGGCCUCUGUGGAGGUGGCAGGUGGGCAUGUGUGGCCUCGGGGAGGGCCUGUGGUGGCAGCGCCAUGGCCAGGUGGUGGCAGUUUGCUUUGCAUUAGCGCCACUCCACCCCUGGCCUGAGCCUUCUCUCAGGCAUCUGGCUUCUCUAUGGGUCAAGGCUGCCUAAUGGUUAGGGGCAGGGGUGCUGUCAUUGCAACCCGGACUGCGGGCAAGCCACUUCCCCUCUGCAAGCCCCCAUCAGAGGGACAAAACACAGCUUGGUGGGCUGCUGUGAGUUCAGACUGUGGUCAGCCUUCAAUGCGCAGGCAUCUCUGCCGGCCUUGCCACAACCGUGAGAAGGCCAAGGGCCUGGGCAAGUACAUCUGCCAGCGGUGCCACCUGGUCAUCGAUGAGCAGCCCCUCAUGUUCAGGAGCGACGCUUACCACCCUGAUCACUUCAGCUGCACCCACUGUGGGAAGGAGCUGACGGCCGAGGCCCGCGAGCUGAAGGGUGAGCUCUACUGCCUGCCCUGCCAUGACAAGAUGGGCGU